UCCUAGCCCCGAUUGCAGCACUUGUUUGAGCUCAUUUUGUGGUUUUCGGGCGGCGGCGAAGCCGCCGCCCGAAAACCACAAAAUAGCGAGUGCGGAAAGCGGGAAAUAGC
rnacentral:sRNA from 1 species